GAGAGCCAAGAGAUCCGUUGUUGAUAGUUAUAAUUAAAAAUGAUAUGAUGAGUUUAAUGUAAUUAAAUAUCCACAAAAGUAUAGUCAAAUCAAUAAUGAUCCUU
rnacentral:misc_RNA from 1 species